AUGGGGUCAGUGGGGUCAGUGGGGUCAAUAGGGCCAUAUGAGGUUAAUGGGGUCAGUGGGGUCAGUGGGGUAAAUGGGUUGUUGGGGUCAUAUGGGGUCAUGGGUUUCAUUAGGAUCUUUGGGAUCGGUGGGGUCAGUGGGGUCAUGCAGGGUCAUUGGGCUCAAUGGGGCCAUGUGGGAUCAUUGUGGUCAGUGGGGUUAUGGGGUUCAUGUGAGGUCAGUGGGGUCACUGGGUCAUUGGGGUCAGUGGAGUCACUGGGUCAAGGGGGUCAAUGGGGCCAAUGGGGUCAAUGGGGUCAGUGGGGCAAAGGGGUUGUUGGGGUCAUAUGGGGUCAUGGGUAUGAUUAGGAUCUUCGGAAUCGGUGGGGUCAGUGGGGUCAUGUGGGGUCAUUGGGGUCAUUAUGGUUAAUGGGGUCAGUGGGGUCAAUAGGGUCAUAUGUGGUUAAUGGGGUCAGUGGGGUCAGUGGGGUAAAUGGGUUGUUGGGGUCAUAUGGGGUCAUGGGUAUCAUUAGGAUCUUUGGGAUCGGUGGGGUCAGCGGGGUCAUGUGGGGUCAUUGGGGUCAUUAUGGUUAAUGGGGUCAGUGGGGUCAAUAGGGUCAUAUGAGGUUAAUGGGGUCAGUGGGGUCAGUGGGGUAAAUGGGUUGUUGGGGUCAUAUGGGGCCAUGGGUAUCAUUAGGAUCUUUGGGAUCGGUGGGGUCAGUGGGGUCAUGCGGGGUCAUUGGGGUCAUUAUGGUUAAUGGGGUCAGUGGGGUCAAUAGGGUCAUAUGAGGUUAAUGGGGUCAGUGGGGUCAGUGGGGUAAAUGGGUUGUUGGGGUCAUAUGGGGUCAUGGGUAUCAUUAGGAUCUUUGGGAUCGGUGGGGUCAGUGGGGUCAUGCGGGGUCAUUGGGGUCAUUAUGGUUAAUGGGGUCAGUGGGGUCAAUAGGGUCAUAUGAGGUUAAUGGGGUCAGUGGGGUCAGUGGGGUAAAUGGGUUGUUGGGGUCAUAUGGGGUCAUGGGUAUCAUUAGGAUCUUUGGGAUCGGUGGGGUCAGUGGGGUCAUGCGGGGUCAUUGGGGUCAUUAUGGUUAAUGGGGUCAGUGGGGUCAAUAGGGUCAUAUGAGGUUAAUGGGGUCAGUGGGGUCAGUGGGGUAAAUGGGUUGUUGGGGUCAUAUGGUGUCAUGGGUAUCAUUAGGAUCUUUGGGAUCGGUGGGGUCAGUGGGGUCAUGCGGGGUCAUUGGGGUCAUUAUGGUUAAUGGGUCAGUGGGGUCAAUAGGGUCAUAUGAGGUUAAUGGGGUCAGUGGGUCAGUGGGGUAAAUGGGUUGUUGGGGUCAUAUGGUGUCAUGGGUAUCAUUAGGAUCUUUGGGAUCGGUGGGGUCAGUGGGGUCAUGCGGGGUCAUUGGGGUCAUUAUGGUUAAUGGGGUCAGUGGGGUCAAUAGGGUCAUAUGAGGUUAAUGGGGUCAGUGGGGUCAGUGGGGUAAAUGGGUUGUUGGGGUCAUAUGGGGUCAUGGGUAUCAUUAGGAUCUUUGGGAUCGGUGGGGUCAGUGGGGUCAUGCGGGGUCAUUGGGGUCAUUAUGGUUAAUGGGGUCAGUGGGGUCAAUAGGGUCAUAUGAGGUUAAUGGGGUCAGUGGGGUCAGUGGGGUAAAUGGGUUGUUGGGGUCAUAUGGGGUCAUGGGUAUCAUUAGGAUCUUUGGGAUCGGUGGGGUCAGUGGGGUCAUGCGGGGUCAUUGGGGUCAUUAUGGUUAAUGGGGUCAGUGGGGUCAAUAGGGUCAUAUGAGGUUAAUGGGGUCAGUGGGGUCAGUGGGGUAAAUGGGUUGUUGGGGUCAUAUGGGGUCAUGGGUAUCAUUAGGAUCUUUGGGAUCGGUGGGGUCAGUGGGGUCAUGUGGGGUCAUUGGGGUCAUUAUGGUUAGUGGGAUCAUUGGGGUCAGUGGGGUUAUCUCCAUACCAUCUCAGUGUUAUCUCU
rnacentral:lncRNA from 7 species